AUGGAGCAACUUGUCUCCACUGAUCAGGAAGUAGAGACUGCAGAGACAGAACCGGAAAUUAGGCCAGGCUAUACAGUAAGGCCUACCUGCUCUAAGGACUUACUUCCUCUGGGAGCCCACGCCUCAGUUCCAGCGGAUGCUUCCCUGAUCUUGCCUCUACCACCAUCCACUGCUGUCUUACUGCCCACCUUGGCCUUCCUGCACUCCAGCUGAGUCCUCUCCGGGAUGGCUGCUGCCUUUCACCCAAGCCUUGCUGCUGCAGCCUCUGCCAGAGACAGCUCCUUGUGGACCCAUGUCAAAAUGGGACUUGCAGAUCCCAUACUCAAGAGAGACACCAACAGCAAGAUGAACCUGGCACUUGGUGCCUACUGGGAUGAUAACGGCAAGCAUUACAUGCUCCCCAGUGUCCAGAAGGCAGAGGCCCAGAUUGCUGCAAAAAAAAAUUGGACAAAGAGUACCUGCCCAUUGGGGGACUGGCUGAAUUUUGUAAUGCUUCUGCAGAACUGGCCCUGGACGAGAACAACAAGUGUUGAAAAGUUUGUCACUGUGCAGACCAUUUCCGGGACUGGAGCCUUAAUGGUCAGAGUCAGUUUUCUGCAAAGAUUUUUUAAAGUUCAGCCGAGAUGUCUUUCUGCACAAACCAUCCUGGGGAGAUCACACGCCCAUCUUCAGGGAUGCUGGUAUGCAGCACCAAGGUUAUCGAUACUAUGACCCCAAGACUUGCAGCAUAGAUUUCUCUGGAGCCAUAGAAGACAUAUCAAAAAUCCCAAAGCAGAGUGUUCUCUUCCUGCAUGCCUGCACUCACAACCCCACGGGCGUGGACCCGCGUCCAGAGCAAUGGAAGGAAAUGUCAUCCGUGGUGAAGAAAAAGAAUCUCUUUGCAUUCUUUGACAUGGCCUACCAAGGCUUUGCCAGCGGUGAUGGUGAUAAGGAUGCCUGGGCCAUGCAGCACUUCAUCGAGCUGGGCAUCAAUGUCUGCCUCUGCCAAUCGUAUGCCAAGAACAUGGGCCUGUACGGUGAGCGAGUGGGAGCCUUCACGGUGGACUGCAAAGAUGCGGAAGAAGCCAAAAGGGUGGAGUCACAGCUGAAGAUCCUGAUCCGUCCCUUGCAUUCCAAUCCACCUCUCAAUGGGGCCCGGAUCACUGCAACCAUCCUAACUUCUCCAGACUUGCGGAAGCAACGGUUACAAGAGGUGAAAGGCAUGGCUGACCACAUCAUCAGCAUGAGGACCCAGUUGGUCUCCAACCUGAAGAAAGAGGGCUCUUCCCACAACUGGCCGCACAUCACCGACCAGAUCCGCAUGUUCUGUUUCACCUGCCUGAAGCCUGAGUAGGUGGAGCGGCUGACCAAGGAGUUCUCGGUCUACAAGACAAAGUAUGGCCGAAUCUCCCUGGCAGGGGUCACCUCUGGCAAUGUGGGCUACCUUGCUCAUGCCAUUCACCAGGUCACCAAGUAA